UGCCAGACUCCUACGGGAGGCAGCAGUGGGGAAUAUUGCACAAUGGGGGAAACCCUGAUGCAGCGACGCCGCGUGAGUGAAGAAGUAUUUCGGUAUGUAAAGCUCUAUCAGCAGGGAAGAAAAUGACGGUACCUGAUUAAGAAGCCCCGGCUAACUACGUGCCAGCAGCCGCGGUAAUACGUAGGGAGCGAGCGUUAUCCGGAUUUAUUGGGUUUAAAGGGUGCGCAGGCGGCGAGUUAAGUCAGCGGUAAAAUUUGGGGGCCAACCCCCGACGAGCCGUUGAAACUGGCUUGCUAGAGUGGGCGAGAAGUAUGCGGAAUGCGUGGUGUAGCGGUGAAAUGCAUAGAUAUCACGCAGAACUCCGAUUGCGAAGGCAGCAUACCGGCGCCCAACUGACGCUCAGGCACGAAAGCGUGGGUAUCGAACAGGAUUAGAUACCCCUGUA
rnacentral:rRNA from 1 species